CCCUUAGAUGUUCUGGGCAGCACGCGCGCUACAAUGGUCUUCGCAAACGGAUGCAUUCUCGAAGGAGAAUGCCAAUCUUGGAAUCUAUGCCUUGGUCGGGACAGUUGCUUGCAAUUUUUCGACCCGAACCAGGAAUUCCUUGUAAUCGUGAUUCAUCACAUCACGAUGAAUACGUCCCUGCCCUUUGUACACACCGCCCGUCGCUCCUACCGAUCGAAGAGUUAGGUGAAUUGUUUUGAUCGAUAAGAUUUGACUAUGGUCAACUCUCGUUGUGAAAUUCUCUGAAUCUGACUGUUUAGAGGAAGGAAAAGUCGUAACA
rnacentral:rRNA from 1 species